CUUGCUUUGGACGGUUUCCUCUU
rnacentral:piRNA from 2 species